AAACAAGUCUUUGGACAAUUUUUCCUUGGAAAACAAGUGUCAGACAUAAUUUACUAGCUAUGGACUUAUUUUCCUAGGAACAUUUGUCCUAGGACUUAUAU
rnacentral:sRNA from 1 species